CACCCGCCUCAGCCUCCCAAAGUGCUGGGAUUACAGGCGUGAGCCACUGCAUCCGGCCCUGUGUCUGUCUUCUUGAACAAAGCCAGUGGCUUAUCUUUAUGGCUUUCUUGUGCAUCUGAGGAUUGAUGAAAAUUCCCAUGUGCCACCUAACUAUAGGAUUUCUCUGCUUACUGGCACUUCCUUUGGCUUUGUUACACUACCAGAACUACACAGAAAGUGGUUUUGGAUUUGAAAUUCAACUAGUGGGACUUGCUCAGUAUUCCCUCCAUAGAGAGCCUCUCAUACACAGUCUCCUACAGUUAAGUUUAAUUUAUUCCCCUCAUUUGGAUUUCCCUGUCACUGGUCACAGAUUGCUAUUUUAUGGCUCUCAAGUAGAUCAGAAAGGUUUUCAGAGUUCCCCUUCCCCACCUCCUACCCACUUCUCUGUAACGACAGACACCCUUUAAGGGAAACUUGGCCCAACCAAUAUUAUUUGAAGACAUUUCAUUCUCACUUAGGUAAUGGGGCUUGGAGUUGAGGUCUACCUUUUUGUUGCUUUCUAGUAAAGCACUGACCCCUAUCUCACAGUACUCUCCUAAGCCCUGUCCUCCCUGACAACUUAGUUGCUUUAUCUUUCCAGGAGCACCCUCACAUUCCUAUAUUGUGCACACUCAAGACAAUUUCCCAGUGUCCACUUCCUGGCUGAAUCAAUUUCCACAACCAUGACGUGUAACUCCAGCUCAUCUCACCAAAGGGCAUUUUAGCAAGUCACUGCAGAUGCUGCAACUCGGAAAAACACGUUUAGUUAGGAUCUGAUGAGUCUUCUCCAUUAGAUAAAUGUUGUGAGGUGGAACUUACUGUAAUUUCCUUCUCUCCACCCAAGAUCUAAAAUUUUUCUCUGAGUUGGCUCCCUCUCUACCUUCAGUCUCCCUUCCUGGAAGAUUUACCCCAGCAAGGAUGUCUUCUUUCAGAUGGAUAUGAGUAAGUUAGUUUCUGCCCUCGUUCUGUUUCUUCCUUCUCCUGCUCUGAUGUUGGCACAUCCUUAGGAAGUCAGCUACUCCACCCCCUCUACCAAGAUGUGGCCCAAUGAGGGUAGGGUAUCUUUCACUUCCCCUUUCUGGGAGGCCGACUGGCCAAGACUGAACUACCUAGACCCCCCCACCCUUACCACUGUCAUUCUACUCACUGACCCCACAUGCUCAUUUUUUGGUUGUUUGCUCCACUGUCCCUGAGAUCUUAGAGGAGGGGUUCUUAACUGGGGGUGGUUUUACCCCCUAGGGAACAUUUAGCAAUGCCUGGAGACAUUUUUGGUUGUCACAACUGGGGCAAAGAGGUUGCCACUGACACCUAGUGGGUAGAGGCCAGGGAUGCUGUUAAACAUCCUACUAUGCACAGCUAGCCUCCUACAACAAAAACUCACCUGGCUCCUGCUAUCAAUAGUGCAGAUGUUGAAAAACACUGGCUAGAAGGAAUGCCUGCCUCACUGGAAUGUGUGAUGCCUACUCCACCGCUGGUUUGUCUUCAAGGAGCCUUUUGCUGGUCAACUCACCAAUAAAUCCACUAGGAGAUCUCUCCCAUUAAUAGCUGUUUGUACCCUCAUUUACAUCUGUCUGCCCCCUCACAUGUUUGCAUGCCACAAGUAAUGGUGGUCUGCUCAACCUUCAUUCCUAACUCUGCACUUCAUCUGCAGGUUGGCCAUACUCAAGAACCUGAAGGUGCUCAGGAUCUGCUUCAUGAUCUCCGUGGCUAUCCCUUUCACUUUCCGGAGGUGCCUUCUAGACAUCUUGACAUCGUGGUGAAGAUGGAAAGAGUGUUUUACUAGACAUGCCAAGAAAGGCUCUCCCAGUUCAAGUUUGCUUGUUUGGUUGUUUUUUUGUUUUGUUUUUUGUUCGUUUGAGAGACAGACCUUUUUACCAAGGUGGCUAACACAAAGAAUUAACUUGUCCAGCUGAGAACUCACCCCUGAGUCACAGAGGUUUAUGUUACUCUGGUUAACUCAAACAUAGAACCACAACUAAGCAAACCGCAACAACUGCGGCAUUCAUAAAACAAGAAUCAUGCUUAGGCAGUCAUUUAAGUGGGCUCAUCACAGGACAGUAAAUAAUGACAAAAGAAAGCAGGGUGUGGAAGGGAAUUGUGAUGUUAAUAACUCGUACAAUGCUUAAAUGCAUGCCCGGCACUGUUCUAAAUUAAAUCCUUCAAUGAUCACUACAACUUUGUUAGGUAAUGACACAUAUCCCUCAUUUUAUGAAUGGGGAAACUAAGGCACAGCAAAGCUAGAUAACUUGUUUGAGAUCACACAAUCGGUGGCAAUGCUGGAAUUUGAACCCAGAGAAUCUGGUGUAACAGUUCACACUCAAGCCACCACUUUGAGAGGAAUCAAGGGAAAAAGAAGAGAGAUCUAAGAGAAUAAAAAGGGGAGGAAGGAGGAGGAAAAACUCAGCUCACUAACACCUGAAGGCAAUUGCUACAUGGUACCCAGCCUCCUUUUUCAGGCCCACACCCAGGUCUUUGCAGUCCCCACCUCUACCUCUGUUAUCAAGCUUCCUAAAAUGACAUGAUUUGGGGAUAAGUGUUCAAACUAUUUUUUUCACAAAUAAAUGGUGUCCAGAGGAA